rnacentral:rRNA from 1 species
UACAGAGGGUGCAAGCGUUGUUCGGAAUUAUUGGGCGUAAAGGGCGCGUAGGCGGUGCCACAAGUCACCUGUGAAAUCUCCGGGCUUAACUCGGAGCCUGCAGGCGAAACUGUGGUGCUGGAGUGUGGGAGAGGUGCGUGGAAUUCCCGGUGUAGCGGUGAAAUGCGUAGAUAUCUGGAGGAAUACCGGCGGCGAAGGCGGCAUCCUGGACCGACAUUGACGCUGAGGAGCGAAAGCUAGGGGAGCAAACGGG